AGGAGCCGUCAUGACAGCAGACUGGAACCUCCGGAUGGAACCUGGCGGUGAUCUCAGUAAACUAUGAAGGACUCUGCUGCUGAAGAUGAUCAGACCUUGGAGGGGAUCCACAAAAAGGUCCUGUGGGAAGACACCCGAUCGAAGAGACUUGUUUGCAAUUCGGAGACGACUAGAGACUCGACAAAGGAUCAUAGGAAC